GUUUUAUUGGCCUAUUUAAAAAUAGAAAUAACAUUUUGGACUUAUAUAAGACAUUUUUCAUAAAUGGUGAGUGACAAUUGCUAUUAUGACCAAUGUUGCAUGAAAAUAAUUUAUUUGACUUGUCCUAUAAACCAGAAAUGGAGUUACGAUCUAUCUACUUUUUGUCUAUCACCUUUACUACUUGACCUUUCCUCUUUCUGCCAUUUUUCACUGAUACAAGUAUUUCAAACCACGUUCUUGGAUGAAAGUUCAGCUUUCAAAUUUGUAAGGCAAUCUAGUUUCUGAAAGUGCACUACAAUUUUGGAAACAGGCAAAUUAUCUUGUCAAUGUCAUGACUUGGUUUAUUCCUUAGGUGUGAGCCAACAUGUAAUGUAUUUCCUAAUCACCUGUUCAUGUGGCAUAGGUUCUUGACAAUAAUAAAAUAACAUCAUUUCAUGAGUUCUUAAACUAUGCCAGGCCCUGUGCAUGCAUUAUCUCAUUUAGGGAUAAAAGCAUCCCUGUACUAUAGGUACAAGUAUCUCCAUUCUACAAAUGAGGACCUAAGAUAUGUUAAUAAAUUUGCAUAUGUGUAUGUGAUAAUUGAAACAAAAUUAUAUAUCAUCUAGUAUGCAAGACAGUUAUAUUUAAAAAUGAGGAGGAGAAUGGGAUCUAAAUAGAAGUUAGUUUCAAAGCUUCACAGAAAGUGGUAAAGUUUUGAUAUCAGUAGCAUUUGAUAAGUUAUAUACACAUAUUGUAACGCUGAGAGAAAUCCCUGAAAAAACACACAAAACCCAAAACCACUAUAUAUAAUUUGUGAUAAAAUCCUAAAAACAGUUCAAGUAAAUCAAAGAAAGGCAAGAAAAGAGAAACAGAAACAACAACCAUGUAAUCCCAGCACUUUGGGAUACUGAGGCAGGUGGAUUGCUUGAGCCCAGGAGUUCAAGACCAACCUGGACAACAUGGGGAAACCCUCUUUCUACAAAAAAAAUACAAAAAUUAGCCAGGUAUGUUGGCAUGCAAGUGUAGUCCCAACUACUUAGGAGGCUGAGGUGGGAGCAUCGCUUCAGCCUGGGAGGCAGAAGUGGCAGGGAGCCGAGAUCACGCCACUGCACUCCAGCCAGGGUGACAGAGUGAAGCUGUGUCUCAAAACAAAAGCCUGGAUGCAGUGGAUCGUGUCUGUAAUUGCAGCAAUUUGGGAGGCUGAGGUGGGCAGAUUACUUGAGAUCAGGAGUUCGAGACCAGCCUGGCCAACAUGGUGAAACCCCCAUGUCUACCAAAAAAUACAAAAAUUAGCCAGGCUUUGUGGCAUGACCUGCAAUCCCAGCUUCUUGGGGAGGCUGAGAUGGGAGAAUCGCUUGAACCUGGAAGGUGGAGGUUGCAGUGAGUGGAGAACCACUGCACUCCAGCCUGGACAACAGAGUGAGACCUUGUCAAAUAAAACCAAAAAACAAAAAACCAACAAACAGAAGAAAUAGAGAGAAAACAAAUUAUAAAGCAAAAUAAUAGACUUAAGCUUAGCAUUAAGUAUAAGUGGUCUUAAUAUAAUUAUGAGGUAGAGAUUGGCUGAUUAGAUAAAAAACAUGAACCAGCUAUAUGAUGUUUAUAAGAAACUCUCUUAAACUUCAACAACAUAAGUGGACUUAAGAUAAAAGCAUGGGAAAGUUAUAUCAUGAUGAUAACUAUUUUUAAAAGAGAAAGUGGCUAUAUUAAUAUCAGAUAAGGUAGAUUUUAGAACAAAGAAAGAUUUCAAGUCAGUAGUUGAAUCCUAUCUCAGAAACUAGAAAAAGAAGAGCAAAAUAAACCCAAGUAGGCAUAAGGAAGGGAAUAACGCAGAUAAGAGCAGAACACAGAGAAAUGGAAAACAAAACCAAAAAAAAAAAGAAGGAAAAAAAUCAAUAAAACAAAAGGCUGUUUGUUUUUUAAAAAACUAUAAAAUUGGUAAACUUCAGCAACAGUGACAAAAGUAAAAAGAGGGAACACAUAAACCACCAAAAUUAAAAAUAAAACGGAGGAUGCCACUACAGAUCCUGCAGCUAGCAGCAGGAUAUUACGGCCUUCACACUCAAAGUCAACAGCGUGGAAUAAACAGACAAACUUCUCAAAAACCACAAACUACUAAAGCCUAAUUAAGAAGAAAUGGAUAAUGGGAAUGGUUCCAUAAUGAUUCAAGAAAUAAAUUUGUAGUUUAAAAGGUUCUGAAUAAAAUUUCUUGGCCUAGAUCAUUUCACUGGAGAACUAGACCAAACACUUAAAGAAGAAUUCAUCUACCAAGUGUAUACAAUCUCUUCCAGAAAACUGAAUAUACUCCACCUGAUUUUAUGAAGCCAAUAUUACUUGAACAUGAAAACAAGAAAAAAAUGAUCAAAUGAAAAAAAGAAAACUACAGACAAAUAUCUCUCAAUGAAUUUAAACAAAAAUUCUCAGUCGAAUUAAUAUUUGAUUCUACAGGGCAGUUCUACAGGGCAAGGUUGCAUGCCUACAUUCUCAACUUCUUGGGAGGCUGAGGCAGGGGAAUUGCUUGAGCCAAGGAUUUCUAAGAUGUAGUGUGCCAUGCCAGUCAGAUGUCCACACUGUUUUUCAUCAGUAUGGUGACCUCCCAUGAGCAGGAGACCACCAGGUUGCUCGAAGAGAGGUGAACCAUCCCGGGUCAGAAAUGAAGCAGGUCAAAACUCUCAUGCUGGUCCAUAGUGGGAUCACACCUGUGAAUAGUCACUGCCUUCCAGCCUGGACAACAUAACCGUAUUAUGAGGAAUCUGCUACAGUGAUGACGUAAAGUAUUUUUUAAAAUUUCCUUCUUCUGUGGCUCCAAGUGGGAAUGAACAUGGGGGAAAAGAUGAUGAAUGUUAACCUAAAA
rnacentral:lncRNA from 1 species